GAAGACUUUAUUAUUGAUUGCAAAUCAAUUUUGGGUGUUAAUCAGUCUUUU
rnacentral:tRNA from 1 species